UGCCGCCUUAAAAACAUUUAAUAAAAAUAAAUUUUAAUUCAAAAUCUUUGGAGAAUUUUACUAAAAGUUUAUCAUAGAUUUUUCCAACGUUACAAAUUCUACCCCCUUAAAAAUAAUCUCGUCCUCGAGAUUAGUGAGAAAAAGGAUACAAAAUGAUUGGUCUGUAAUUCAGUUUUUUGUCUAUAAUUGGUUCAAAAAUCUAGAGUCUCACAAAAUAAAUAAUUACAUUAUAAGGAGACAACGGUCCAGCAACCCAAAGUUGACUGGGAGACGACGACCUAGACCUCUCACGAACUCAUCACAGCAUCCUCCAUGCGCCUCAUCCUGCGGUACCUGCUCUUGACCUGUGGGGGGUGUGAGACAGCAAGAGUGAGCUCACAUACGUUCAUCGCUCAACAAGUUGUGGGGAAUAAUGUGCAUGAACUCGCCAAAGAUGGGAGCUCACGUGAAGUGUAAGGCUUACCAAAGAGGAUGGUUAGAGCUGAGCAUUGCUUUUAAAGUUGGUCAAAAUUUUAUUAGCAAUUACUAAGUAUAAGUAAAUACCAACCCAAUUAAAUAGUAGAACAGAAGUAACAACAUCACCUGCGAUGCAAUGCAUAUGACAAAUUGAAUUUAAGUUCCAUAAAUUAAUCAUGUGAGGGUCCGAGCUGCUCAUGACCGUGAGCACGGCUAGUAUACCAGUUUUACACUCUGCAGAGGUUGCGCAUCUUUACCCACAAGUCAUGUUACCCAUCUGCCAAGGGAUCACAACUUCCCAUACACCUCUACCGAGGAGGCGAGGCAGGGUAACACUACGAGGCCUUUACAAAGUUCCACUAGCUUCAGAAAACCCGCUACAGUUUAUAGGAAGCUCCAAUGCAGGAAUUCCCUUGCAGGACCGCCAUCGCAGCAAAAUCCUCCCGAGGGCCUCCCUACACUGACCACUCCCCUACUGCCCUUGCCCCUUUCGGGUAAGGUAGUCCUCCACUAGCUUUCCUAAUUAAUCAGCCAAGGGCGUCCCAUUAUACCCUUGUGGUAGCACUGUUUUCCCGGGUGGUCGCUCCAUGUUCCAAUUAACAUAAUGAUCUUAUCAUGAUCAGUAAAUAACAACGGAUAACAAAAGUAUAAUCAUGAAUAAUGUAUCUUCAUACCCAAAACCACAUAAAAGCACUAGCAAGUACUACCCAAAAAGUUCAGUGGUAAACAAGGUAUAAAGAUAAUCAAACUAGGGUAACCUAUUGGGUCCCAUCAAAAUUAACCUAUAAAGAUCAUUAUGAUUAAUUAGAACAUGAGUGGGUAAAAAGAAGUGAUCAAGGGCACAACUUGCCUGACACUUGAGAUUCCAAUUACCAGGGUGAUUCUUCAGAUCCUCGAAACCUCGCGCUAGUCGUAGCAAUACAAACAUACAUGGUAUAGACAAAAUUAACAUCACACCAAACAUAAGAACACACUGCAUAAUAAUGAUCUACGCGUUGCUACGAGAUCGCGGGAACGAGAACCACUAAAAUCGGAGUUACGGUUAAGGAGUUAUGAUUUACGGGAGAUCUGCGUGAUUAAAAUAUUAAACUAUUUUAUAAAUUGGUUAAUAUAAUUCAUAUGAGAGGUUAUUCUAUAAAUAAUUAUCUCAACUUUAAUUUAAGUUAUAAAUUGACUAUAGAUCAUCUUCUAGUAGAUUAUAAUGAUAAGCAGAUUAACAAGAGUAAUCAACAUAGGUUAAAUAGAAAUCUAAUUAUAAAAGAGUGAGACAUGGUCUAAUCAAUAUUGUUACUGCGUAGUAAAUAUUUAUACGAGACUAACGCAACUUGAACGGAUCAAAUCGGAGUUAAAACGGAGGAGCUAUGAAUUUCCUAAGGUUUUAUGUAUUUGGUAUAAGAUUAAUUAGGAAAUAAAUUUUUAAAUUGGCUUUCAUGUCAAAACAGUGGAACUUUAUGAUGAAAAAUAAUAUUACAAAGUUAUUGGAACUGGAAUGGAUCAAUUUGAAGUUCAUAUGAAUUUUCUAGGGUUUAAACAAGUUUCUGCAAUUAUUUAUAUAUUAAAAAUCAAUUUCCCUAAUUAUUCCUUUAUUUUUAUUUCACUCUGGACUGCGCGCCCAAUAUUUGAAAAUGCAGGGGCUAAUCUAUAAAACUUCGGCAGACACAGACCUACCCCGCGGUGGACGGCGGGUUGAAUCUAUAUUAUUUCAGGGACUCUUACGCAAAACGCCCAGCCGAAGGGGUAUGGCUGCCUCAGGUUCGUUGGAUUAGAGCCCAACGGCUCAGAUUUAAUUAGGGGUUUUAAUAAUCACCAAGCGCUCAGGACCAGAGGAUCCACGAUCGACGGCUUGGAUCGCUUAGACGUCUAGAUCGCGAGCGAACGCAUCGGAACCGCUCAUUCACAGAUCGACGGUUACCAUCUCCUUUCUUCUCGAUCUAAACUCUAGGCAUUGGAUUGCCAUCCAACGGUUACCAACAUUCCCCGCUCCCAUCUAAUCGUGGCCGACCAACCCGAGAUCGACGGUCAACACAUCAUCGCCACCGAUGGGUCACACGCCGACGCACUCCAGGGAGGGAUGCGGUCACCGACGGCGGCACCAUGGCCGGGAGGUUCCCCAAGCCCCGAUUCCCGACCGAAUCCGAUCCAAACGCGGAAACAUAAAGCGAAUCACGUCCAGGCUUCGUCGAGGGUUACUCACAGUGAUUCAAAUCGCUACGAACUCCACACACGGCGCGCGAUGGAUCUUGUGCCCGGUGAUGAAAUUCUGGCCGCCCCAACGGUCAUUCCCUCCUUCUCCGGCCACGAGCGCCCCCCAAGCAACGUAUUGAAGCCCCCAGACCCCCUGUGGAACCCCGACUGCAAGCUGAGGCCGAGGGCGACGUUGGUGGUACUCUCUGCUCACAGUUCUCCCCUCGAUUUGGCGUUGGCUCUCGGUUCCAGCGAUGGCGGCGAACUGGAUUUUUUUUCCUCACUGCGUUAAUGGCGGAAGCGCAGGGUCUUCAUUUAUCUACUGGCGCCGCGUCUGUUACCGAGAACGCAGGGAAGAAGAUAGGCCCCGGCGAGUUCGGCGCGGGUGGUUGAGCGUGAGCCACAACGUCUUCCGCGCGGAGCAGGAGCACGGUUCGCCAUCCUGGGCCCACAUUCAGUGGGGCACGCAUGCGUUGGCCAGUCCGGGCGCAAGGUUGGC
rnacentral:lncRNA from 1 species